rnacentral:rRNA from 1 species
GACGAACGCUGGCGGCGUGCUUAACACAUGCAAGUCGAACGGAAAGGCCCUGCUUUUGUGGGGUGCUCGAGUGGCGAACGGGUGAGUAACACGUGAGUAACCUGCCCUUGACUUUGGGAUAACUUCAGGAAACUGGGGCUAAUACCGGAUAGGAGCUCCUGCUGCAUGGUGGGGGUUGGAAAGUUUCGGCGGUUGGGGAUGGACUCGCGGCUUAUCAGCUUGUUGGUGGGGUAGUGGCUUACCAAGGCUUUGACGGGUAGCCGGCCUGAGAGGGUGACCGGCCACAUUGGGACUGAGAUACGGCCCAGACUCCGACGGGAGGCAGCAGUGGGGAAUAUUGCACAAUGGGCGGAAGCCUGAUGCAGCAACGCCGCGUGCGGGAUGACGGCCUUCGGGUUGUAAACCGCUUUCGCCUGUGACGAAGCGUGAGUGACGGUAAUGGGUAAAGAAGCACCGGCUAACUACGUGCCAGCAGCCGCGGUGAUACGUAGGGUGCGAGCGUUGUCCGGAUUUAUUGGGCGUAAAGGGCUCGUAGGUGGUUGAUCGCGUCGGAAGUGUAAUCUUGGGGCUUAACCCUGAGCGUGCUUUCGAUACGGGUUGACUUGAGGAAGGUAGGGGAGAAUGGAAUUCCUGGUGGAGCGGUGGAAUGCGCAGAUAUCAGGAGGAACACCAGUGGCGAAGGCGGUUCUCUGGGCCUUUCCUGACGCUGAGGAGCGAAAGCGUGGGGAGCGAACAGGCUUAGAUACCCUGGUAGUCCACGCUGUAAACGGUGGGUACUAGGUGUGGGGUCCAUUCCACGGGUUCCGUGCCGUAGCUAACGCUUUAAGUACCCCGCCUGGGGAGUACGGCCGCAAGGCUAAAACUCAAAGGAAUUGACGGGGCCCCGCACAAGCGGCGGAGCAUGCGGAUUAAUUCGAUGCAACGCGUAGAACCUUACCUGGGUUUGACAUGGAUCGGGAGUGCUCAGAGAUGGGUGUGCCUCUUUUGGGGUCGGUUCACAGGUGGUGCAUGGCUGUCGUCAGCUCGUGUCGUGAGAUGUUGGGUUAAGUCCCGCAACGAGCGCAACCCUUGUUCACUGUUGCCAGCACGUUAUGGUGGGGACUCAGUGGAGACCGCCGGGGUCAACUCGGAGGAAGGUGGGGAUGACGUCAAGUCAUCAUGCCCCUUAUGUCCAGGGCUUCACGCAUGCUACAAUGGCUGGUACAGAGAGUGGCGAGCCUGUGAGGGUGAGCGAAUCUCGGAAAGCCGGUCUCAGUUCGGAUUGGGGUCUGCAACUCGACCUCAUGAAGUCGGAGUCGCUAGUAAUCGCAGAUCAGCAACGCUGCGGUGAAUACGUUCCCGGG